rnacentral:lncRNA from 10 species
GACGCUUUGAUGGCAGUCAUCAACAGCCAGGCUGAGGCUGUUCUUGGAGUGGUGUAGAUCAGGAGUUCUGAAAACAACAACAACAACAACAACAACAAUAACAACAACAACAACAACGUAUGGUCAACUGAUGAGACUCAGAAUCUCUGUGGGCCAAGAAGUGAGACUUGUUUUGUAGCUCACCGUGAGAAGAUUUGAAAUGAAGAGUUCAAAGAACUGGUCUCUGAUGAAUGGCAUUGGGAUGGUGAGGUCUGGAAAAAGAUGGGAAAAAGGACUUCAGCUUUCAUCAAGAGCCCUUCUCUAACAAACACUAGAUGUAUUAUUUCGUGUAUUCAUUAUUCUGAUAAAACGUGAAAAAUCAUAUGAAAAUAGAGUAUAAAUAAUUCUAUUAAUCUGAAACAAUUUAGUUCUUUAGAAUGUGUCUUAAUAUAUUAUUCUUCAGUAUAGUAUUGUUUUACAUAUACAAAAACUACUGAAUUAUCAUAGUAAAACAUACAAACAAUUUUGAUACAGUAAAUGUUUCUCUUAACUUUGAUCAAACUUUAUUUGCCACUCUGGUAAUAUUCUCUAGUUGGUCCUAUGAGACCAUUAUCUAUACUCUUAAAUUAUACAUAUAGGUACCUAGAGCAGCUUGUUUGAUUUUAUUUGUGUAUAUAACUUUAACAUAAAUAGACCCCUCUAAAUAUCAAUAUGGAAUUCUUUUUUAACUUGUUGAUAUAUUUCAGUGAGAGUUUAAUUUCAGUAUGCAUAGAUUUGCCUUAUGGUACAUUUCUUUUUGUGCUCUUUAUUUUUUUCAUAUUUAGGAGAAGAAUUUCUAGACAAUAGGAUAUAGGCACUUUGAACUUUAUACUCUUUCACAGACUAUAUGAAAAUGCAUGUUUUCCCAAAUCUUCACCUAUAAAGGGUGAAAUACAAUGUAUCACAAUACUAUGUCAAUAUAUUAUUGCUCUAUUGUGGUUUGAUUUUAAAUUCCUUGAUUCAUAUUCUGUUACAUUAUUUGAUUUACUUUUCAUUUUGCUGGAGUACUUAAGUUACUUUUAAGCAAAUGCAUGGUGAUGGAAUAAAUGUUUUGACUACUUAAAUGUCUGAAGUCUAUGAUAACAAAUUUUUAAUUUUAGAUGAAAUGAAGAAAUUUCAAGAAAACUGCAACUUACUAAAACUGACACAA